CCCAUCACAUAGGUGUCAGCUGUGGAGAAACGUGCACGCAUGAGCGCAGUGAUCCAGCGUCUGAUAGCUGGAAGCCUUCAGACUCCUGCAAUCAUCACAUGUCAGGAAGGAGGAGGAGCUCAGGGCUCUAAACAGGACAGUCGGCUCUCCUGGUCCGUGCUUUCUGCCACUCCCACUGUGACCGCCACGCCCAUUUGCUAUCAGCUAAAGAACAUUUGCUGGAAAAACAGAACCUGCUUUCCCAUUUGAGCUGAACAAAUGCUCCCUGCAACCCCCCCACUGCAGCCUCUGCUCUGCACUGAACUGAACUACACUGGAUGUGACAUUCAGCGGUUCAUGAUGGAUUCAUCCAUCCAUCCAUCCAUCCAUCCAUCCAACCAAACUCCUCGUUGGAUUCUUUAUCCUUUCAGUCUGCAGCACCCAGAGACUGGAGUCAUUCACAAAACAAUUAUUUCCAAAAAGAAUCUUAAUGAUCAUUUUAAAGAAAAUGUUGCUUUUAAGAUUCUAAUGAUUUAAUGAGUUUAAUUAUUUUGAUAAUUGCUGUUUUAUCCUGGUUCUUUCUGUCUCCUGUAGCUCCUUUUGCCAGGCCACAGUUGAAAAUACCUGUUUUUCUUAAUCUGAAUAAAUAAAGGUGAAAUAAAAAUGAUGCAUA